GAUGAACGCUGGCGGCGUGCUUAACACAUGCAAGUCGAACGAUGAAGCCCAGCUUGCUGGGUGGAUUAGUGGCGAACGGGUGAGUAACACGUGAGUAACCUGCCCUUAACUCUGGGAUAAGCCUGGGAAACUGGGUCUAAUACCGGAUAGGAGCGUCCACCGCAUGGUGGGUGUUGGAAAGAUUUAUCGGUUUUGGAUGGUCUCGCGGCCUAUCAGCUUGUUGGUGAGGUAAUGGCUCACCAAGGCGACGACGGGUAGCCGGCCUGAGAGGGUGACCGGCCACACUGGGACUGAGACACGGCCCAGACUCCUACGGGAGGCAGCAGUGGGGAAUAUUGCACAAUGGGCGCAAGCCUGAUGCAGCGACGCCGCGUGAGGGAUGACGGCCUUCGGGUUGUAAACCUCUUUCAGUAGGGAAGAAGCGAAAGUGACGGUACCUGCAGAAGAAGCACCGGCUAACUACGUG
rnacentral:rRNA from 1 species